rnacentral:piRNA from 1 species
CUGUCUCAUGGUGCAUGUACGCUGGC